GAUGAACGCUGGCGGCGUGCCUAAUACAUGCAAGUCGAGCGAACAGACGAGGAGCUUGCUCCUCUGACGUUAGCGGCGGACGGGUGAGUAACACGUGGAUAACCUACCUAUAAGACUGGGAUAACUUCGGGAAACCGGAGCUAAUACCGGAUAACAUGUUGAACCGCAUGGUUCAACAGUGAAAGACGGUCUUGCUGUCACUUAUAGAUGGAUCCGCGCCGCAUUAGCUAGUUGGUAAGGUAACGGCUUACCAAGGCAACGAUGCGUAGCCGACCUGAGAGGGUGAUCGGCCACACUGGAACUGAGACACGGUCCAGACUCCUACGGGAGGCGGCAGUAGGGAAUCUUCCGCAAUGGGCGAAAGCCUGACGGAGCAACGCCGCGUGAGUGAUGAAGGUCUUCGGAUCGUAAAACUCUGUUAUUAGGGAAGAACAAAUGUGUAAGUAACUAUGCACGUCUUGACGGUACCUAAUCAGAAAGCCACGGCUAACUACGUG
rnacentral:rRNA from 1 species